rnacentral:rRNA from 1 species
AUUGAACGCUGGCGGCAUGCCUUACACAUGCAAGUCGAACGGCAGCAUGGAAGAGCUUGCUCUUCUGAUGGCGAGUGGCGAACGGGUGAGUAAAGCAUCGGAACGUACCGUGUAGUGGGGGAUAACGUAGCGAAAGUUACGCUAAUACCGCAUACGCACUGAGGUGGAAAGCAGGGGGAUCGCAAGACCUUGCGCUAUACGAGCGGCCGAUGUCAGAUUAGCUAGUUGGUAGGGUAAAGGCCUACCAAGGCGACGAUCUGUAGCGGGUCUGAGAGGAUGAUCCGCCACACUGGGACUGAGACACGGCCCAGACUCCUACGGAGGCAGCAGUGGGGAAUUUUGGGACAAUGGGCGAAAGCCUGAUCCAGCCAUGCCGCGUGAGUGAAGAA